GCCGCUCGUGGGUCGGCUUCGGCGACCCGGCGCUGCGGACGCUGAUCGAGGACUACACGCGCGAGUCCGGGGUGCGCAACCUCGAGCGCGA
rnacentral:tRNA from 1 species